rnacentral:ncRNA from 1 species
UCUGGUCUACUCCACAAUAAUAGAUCCGGUCUGUUAAAAUUAAAGGAGGAUAACCCCGUCAGACUCACGGUGCGGCAGUGUGGAGACCUGUCGUAAUGCGUCCGCUGUUUUACCCGGCGGAGUGCGAGGAUAUACGCGAGGAUUCGGUAUAUCCUGAGUCAAACAGUAUGGCA